UAAAAAAAAUUAAACCCUAAAAAGACUAAAGUCCUAAUUCCUAAACCAGUCUGCACGAGUCGUCCUCUCCUCAAUCACUGCGAUUUGCAAUUCGGCCACCACCGCCCACCGCCACUAGCCCACACGCCCGUCCACAGUCUACCACGCCUGACGCCACCUGCCCUCCACCGGCAGUCCGCGAUUCGAAGGUCACUGCCUGACUGCCUGACGCCACCGGCCACCAUCGCUCUAGUCUGCCGUUGGCCACCACCGUCGCAGGGGAACCUUAGCUGAGCAGGUUUGGGGGAUCACAGAACAACACAUAGACUAGUUUCAGUUGUUCGAAGAGUAUAAACAUCCUUUGUGCCCACCGCCUGUAAUUAUUCCUAUCGAGGGCGGUUAUCUUGGAUAAAUCGAGUAUGACAGAAGGAGCCAUCGCACCGAGGAUUGACUAUUGCUCAAAUAACGCUUUUAACUUUUGGGAAAUUGUGGCAACGUCAACUAAUCCUCAUACUCUCUAGGAAAAGGAGAACAACUAAAGCAGAAAAUGAAGUCUGUGCCGUGUUAAAAUAACACUGCUUUAAAAGCGUUAUUUGCCCGGUGACGGUGCAGUCAAGAGUCCCGGGAGACCAAAAAUGGAUACAUCUCAAGAAUAAAGUUCUCCAAACACUAAUAUCAAUGUUGAUUGCAAAGUUGAUAUGCCAGGGGACAGACCAGCUGAAGUUGAACCUUCAAAACAAAUUGAAAAUUUAGAAUCACAACAAAGAGAUUUACAAACUUGCCACUAGCCUGGCCCUCCGGCUAUGGCGCACCCAACAGGGCCGAGGGUUCUUUGUGGAGUGGCAACAACACCCCAAGCAAGGCAGGCUUAGUGAUGGUUCACCAAGUAAUUAAGUCUGGUGGUCUCAUUGCAAAUACUUGUCAUCUCUUGAGUUAUCAUUUCUUCUACACCUCUUCAACUAACAUCUUGAAAAAUAUCUAUAGGUAUGAAUUAAGGAUCUUCGUCAAUAACUCUAAAAGCUGAGUCUCCAAUCAUCCUUUUUCUAAUACAGUUGUGUAGUGCAAAACAUGAACAAAUUAUCCUAUUUUGAUCUAUUAAUGAAAAUCUUUGCAAAAAUUUCGUCUUCCCACUCUCCUCCCAUCUCAUUAGUUCAGAACCUCUCUUCUGCUUAGAACCCUCUCUCUAAGCACACACCUAUUCCAAAACCUCUCUUCUGCUUCCCGCUCUCCUCCCGCCACCGUCGAGACAGCACAUACCUAUUCCAGUUGUCGUCGCUCGUACCGAUCGCCAUCUCCGUCGUCGUCGCCUUCGCCAUCUCUACUAGCUAAAGGAAUUUGUUGAAUAUUGUAACCAAGAUGAUGUGGAUAAUGGAAAAUCUGCAUUGGAUGUGUAUUUGGAUGAACCACAGAAGGACAUGAAGAUGUUUGCUGAUAUGGAUAUCUUGAAAUUUUGGAAGGAAAAUAGAUGAUGGUGAUAUUAAUGUUGUUGAAGAAAUUAUCCCUGUUCCAUCCGAGUUUUCAGCAGUAACAUUCAUUAUUUAUACACUAUUUUGAAGACUUGAAGAGUGGAUUGAAUUGAAGACCAUAUUGUUGUUAGUUGUUAUGUUUGGACUUUGGAUUUUAGAUUUUGAGACACUAUAUUACUAUGUGGUUAUGUUUGAUGUGUUUAUGAUGUUUGAUGUCUUUUGGAUUUUUAUCAUUGUGGAUUUGUGUAUUGAUGGAUUGUCAUGUGAAGUGUAAACUUUUAGAAUAUUGAACAUUUGAAUGCUUUUAUGUCUAUUAAAUUAUUAAUAAUUUUAAAUAAUAA